ACACGCGCAAUGAUGAAGAGGAGUAUGCAGGCAAGAAUGCUUAAGAGAGCUGAUGGUUGGUGAAAAUCAGUGCGGGAAGCUUGCAGAAUGGACUUUUGAGCGUCCAGACCGAUAGUGUGAACGAAAACAUGGUAACACACAGGUAGGCUCUGGCGGAGCGUCUCACCGAUAGAAGAGACAGGUAUUCGAGCAAAGGCAUGGAGAGCUAGCACUUACUCCGAUACAAUUGAGCGCGCUGUGUAGACAGCGAAUAAAGGUGGCACCACGGGUUUCUCGUCCUUAUU
rnacentral:ncRNA from 1 species